rnacentral:misc_RNA from 1 species
ACUAUGCGAAAGCAUAUUCCCGCCCGCGGCCUCGCGCCGCUGUGGUGACCACCCUUUGUGAACCUUUGUUUUUUGCUUCGGCAGUUCGCCUCCCGCGAGGGUCGCGGUAAAGCUGCCGACAGCCCACACCAUAAACUAUUUUGUUACCAGAAAUCAUGCAGUCUGAUUUACUUUAAUAUAAAAGUU